rnacentral:lncRNA from 1 species
GUACCACUGAUUGUGUGAUUCCAUUUAUAUGAAACAUCCAGAACAGGACGUGGACUUAACAGACCGGAGGGGGCAAGUGUGGAGGCAGGAGACCAGUUAGGAGACCAGGGCAUUGCUCCCGGUAGAGUCAGCGGCUCGGCACACUCCACCAAUAGCUCCCACUCACCCUUCAGGUCUCAGCUGAAAAACUGCCUCUAGCUGGAAGGUUUCCACGCCACUC